AUGGCGACGGAGGACUUAGGUCAGGGUUCGGGCACAUCCGAUGUUGAGGCGAUGAUGGCAGAAUUGGGUUUGAAGGAGGACGAUCUUGAGGACGUGGUGAUCGAUGACACCGAGCUACCGGAGGAGGCCACCAGAUGGAUGGCGGUCGCUAGGGUUUUUACAGACAAGACGUACAACCAAUAUUGGUUCUACAAAAAUAUGAGGGCGGCCUGGGAUCUGGCUCAGGAGGUGAAGAUCCGGCCACUUGAGGAUAAUCUUUACACCCUGCAGUUUUCUUGUCUUGGAGAUUGGGAG
rnacentral:rRNA from 1 species